CCAGUUAUGGAAUCAUCGAUUAUCGGGGUGAAUCUCCUGAUGAACAGGCAUUGGUUGCUGCAGCUUCUGCCUAUGGGUAUACCCUUUUUGAGCAGACAUCUGGGCAUAUUGUGGUUGAUGUCAAUAGUGAGAAAUUAAGGUAGAAGGCUCUUCUGUUUAUAUAUCUUUACUUCUGUGCAAUUUGCAAUUUUUUGUUGGAAUAUUAUUUUAAUUCCACGAGGCAGAGAUGAUAUGCAGUACACUAAUGUGAUUUUAUCUUGUUCUCUAUAGUAUAACACCCACGACCACUUUUCUAUGUUCUUCUUUUUUGUGUCUGUGUAAUUGAAUUAAGUCUUAUCAAUGUAUCUAUUCUGACAAAUUUUCAGCGGCUUUACUUAUUACUCUUGCAUUUCCUUUCAUUGUCAAAUUUCAAGUUGAUGGUCAUGCUUAUCAUUUCUAACUGUGCAAUGCAAGUUGGAUGUUACGGGUCUGCAUGAGUUUGAUAGCUUGUGCAAAAGAAUGUCUGUUGUUGUCAGAUUUCCAAGUAGAACUGUAAAGGUAUUGGCGAAGGGGGCCGAUACAUCUAUGUUUAGCAUUUUAAAGAUGGACCAUCCCGAUGAUAAUCAUACUAAACAUGCUACACAGAGUCAUCUGAAUGAAUAUUCAUCUGAAGGUUUGCGUACCCUAGUUGUUGCUUCUGGGGACCUUUCAGGUGAAAAACUCUUGGAAUGACAGUGUAUGUAUGAAGAUGCAAGCACAUCCCUGUUGGACAGAUCCAUAAAGUUGCGUCAAACAGCAGCUCUUAUAGAAUGUGAUUGACCCUCCUUGGGGCCACUGCAAUUGAGGAUAAGUUACAAGAGGGUGUACCAGAAGCCAUUGAGUCCCUGCGGCAAGCUGGAAUAAAGGUGUGGGUUCUUACUGGAGAUAAACAAGAGACAGCCAUUUCCAUUGGUCUUUCCUGCAAACUCUUGACUGCAGAUAUGGAACAGAUUAUUAUAAAUGGAACUUCUGAGAGUGAAUGCAGAAAACUUCUUUGUGAUGCUAAGGCCAAAUAUUGUGUGAAAUCUGCAAAUAGCAGUGACCAGAUAUCAAAAUGGGGAAAGAAUACUGAAAGUGAUUUCCUUGAGAUUCCUCUUGGCACAAAGUUAUCUAGUUUGCAACAGCGGCAUGCAGAACAGGAAGAAGGAACUUCUUUUGGACCACUAGCACUUAUAAUUGAUGGGAAUAGUCUGGUUUACAUAUUAGAGAAAGAUCUGGAGUCUGAGGCACGUGUAAUUUCUGCCUUUUUUUUGGUUAUAUUCUGAUGUUUUGAUAUGAUUUAUAGUGGUCUGCAUGCUUGGUUUUAUUUAUCAGAUUCUUGAAUCUGUUAGCUUGUCAAAAUUGCUCGAGUUGGAUAUAAAUGUGCAAAGUUCUGUCGCAUUCGCUGGCUGUAUGAAGUUACGCAUAUAACUUACCGAACUUCUCAUUUGGUAAUUUUUCAUGGUUUACCAGCUAUUCAACCUCGCAACUUCGUGCAAGGUUGUGCUUUGUUGUUGUGUAGCGCCAUUGCAAAAGGCUGGUAUUGUUGACCUGAUCAAAUGUCAUAGUGAUGACAUGACACUAGCUAUUGGUGAUGGUGAGUUGGUUACUUAGGAUUCAGGUGGCAUUGGCUGGAGGAAGUUGCAUUUGAGUUUUGGUUAAUCCUUUGAAGGCUGCUUUUGUUUAUACGUUUCUGCUGUUUUCUUUCGUUUGAGAAUGUUUUGUUUGACUUGCUUUAAUCUAAUUGAUACUGUAUUUGCAGGGGCUAAUGAUGUUUCCAUGAUCCAAAUGGCGGAUGUUGGUGUUGGAAUAUGCGGUCAAGAAGGGCGUCAAGCUGUAAUGGCUUCAGAUUUUGCAAUGGGACAGUUCAGAGUUUUGAAACGAUUGCUUUUGGUGCAUGGACAUUGGAAU
rnacentral:lncRNA from 1 species